rnacentral:tRNA from 1 species
GUAUUGUGUAGCUUAACAACAAAGCAUGUUGCACACACCACAUAAAAAUGGCAUUAUUUUACAUCAUGAU